ensembl:lncRNA
CGGCGAUGGCUUUUUAUAACUCCGGGUUCUGCGCCUUUGCCCGGGCUCGGAAGGGAAGGAGUGGGGGAGGUGGGAGGCGGGGAAACCAGCGGAAUCUUCUGGCCUUUCAGAGCGUGCCCUCCUCCCGCCACGCACCGGUGAUUUCGGGGGGUUCCCGGGGCCCACAGCCCGCGGGGCGCACGCCCCGCCCCCAGCCCCGGGGCGGGCCCGCACCCCCCCACCCCCGCCACACUCACCCCCAGGGUGGCCGCCUCCCGGGGCCGCGCCGCGCGCAUCUCGCCGGCCGCCCGCGCCCCCGCCCGCGGCAGCGGCGGUCCCGGGGCCGGGCUAGGCCUACCCCGGCCGGGCGGGAGGGCGGGCGGGCGGCGCCGGGGCUGCGGGGUGCGGGCGGGGCGCUCUGCGGGGCGCAGGGACGGCGCGGCCCGGGCGAUCGGCGGCGCCUCCGCCUCCACCUCGGGCUCCGGCUCGGCUCGGCGGCGGCCGCGGCUGCCUGCGCGAGAUCAACAAGUCGGGCUGAGCUUCGGCUCCGCGCUCGCCGCGAUUCUGUCCCGCACUUCGGAGCGCGGCGAGUGGCACCGAGGCGGGACGGCGCCACCUGCGGGUCGGAAACGCGCGCGGCUUAACCCCUCCGUGCCCGGCCCGGUCCUGGCCCAGGCCGCGGGGCCCACCCGGGCUGCUCGUCUGGGUCCCGGCCACCACGAGGCUGAGCGCCUACUGCAUGCAGGCGCUGCACGUAGGGCGGGCGUGGGAGAUACAGUUGCGAAGCCAACUAGCCUCUGGGUUGCGAGGCUCCCUGGAGAGCGACUGUAAACAGAAUUGGAAGACUAUGUCAGACAGGCUAGAAGCUGGGAGGAUGGGAAAGCUAGAGGAGGCAGGUGGCAAUUUUAAAUAGCCCUUGCUUUGAUUCCAUUCCCGGAUUCUACAAAAUCAAAUUCUAGAUUCUAGAGGAAAGUGGACGUUGCACCUACUAACCAACAAACAUGCAAAAGAGGUGGGCAGCUGGGUGGUAGCUGCUGAGGAGAAACAAGGCCAGGUGAAGGGCCAGUGAAGACUCAGAGCUUGCCUGUCCUGGUUAGUCAGUCACCCAUUCUUGCUAACUUGGACAGAUGCUUCUGGACUGCUGAGGGUCUAGAUCAACCCAGAGAUCCACUGCUCCUGCCUCACCCUGUGCAGUGGGGUGGUCAGAGUGACUGCAAACAGGACUGAAUGCAGAAGGGGCCAGGCCUCCCUUUGUCAGCCACACUUGGACCCUGCUGGUUUGUUCUCUCACACACAUAUCUGUGUGUGGGGUUGAGGAGUUAGAGGUACAGCAGAGAACCUGGCCCCGGAGGGAGGAAACUUAGUGGGGCCUGGUACCCGGAGAUAAGGCCUUCUCCUCUCCACUUUGGGUUCCUGUCCACUGUGUCACACAGAACUGUUUGUAAAAACCCAUCCGCUCUGAUCAGUUCCCCUCCUGCCUUCUCUCCCUGUGAACUCUGCUCUCAGCUCCCCCAUCCCGCCUCUGCCUCUGCUUCCUACAGAACCACGGCUGUCAGAAUGAAUGUUCCAUUUCCCAAACUGAAUGUCUGUUGUCUUCAAUGGAGUAAGGCCUUCUUGGGUUUUCCCUUGCUCUGGCCUGAUAGUUCUGAUUCAGUCCCUCCCUCCUCAUCUCAGCUUGCUCACCACUGAAGAAAGACAAACAACUAAACACAUUUUUGUUUGUUUGUUUGUUUGCUUGUUUUUUAAUGAGAAAGCUUUGGCCAAUCAUAAGUGCUACCAGGGAAUCAUGGGGCCAGGGGUAGCUAUGCUGAGACUUUUACCCAGAAGGUCAGCAGGGCCUCUCAGACUCCACAGGUAGGAAGGGAGUCAGAUAGAUAUGGAGGGAUAAGAGGAAUUCCAUGCAGACUUGUAUCCAGGCUGAAGGCCAAGGGCAAACAAGGGACGGCCACGUGCCUCCCUGGCCACCAUAGAAACAGCAUAGAAAAUGCAAGAUGAAGCACUCGGGAGGCAGAGGCAGGAGGAUCUCUGUGACUUUGAGGCCAGCCUGGUCCACAGAACCAGUUCUAGGGCAACCAGGGCUGCAUGGAGAAACCCUGUCUCAAAAAGCAACAACAAAAAGAAUAUGUAAGAUUUGUUUUUCUUCCCAUGUGUGCUUAUGUGUGUAUGAGAGAGAGAGGGUUAGGGUUAGUGUCAACUCACGACAAAUUAAAUUCACCUGAGCAGGGAGCCUCACUUGAAGAAUCGUCUUAAUUGCUUUAAUUGAUGUAGGAGGACCGACCGGAAUGUGGGUAGCAUCUACUAAUGGGGAACCAGAUUAAAUGGCUUCCAUCCUGGGCCAAGGGCCUUCAAGUCUCCAGGAACCUUUGGAUUUUUGGUGCUGGCUUGGUGACGACUGAGACAACUCAAGGACCAGGCAGCUACCAGAUUCCCAGCCUCACAGUGAAAUUUCAGAAACAUUAUUUGAGGGGCCCAUGAGAUGGCUCAGCAAUGCUUGUCCCCAAACCUGACAGCCAUUCUCCUGCCUCAGCCUCCUGACUAGCUGGAUGACAGGCCUCAACCACCAGGCCUGGUUAUAGGUGGUUUCCUGGAAAGCAUCCUUGGGUCAAGCCACUUUCCCACCCUGGUCUGAAGGGGCUGCCUUUGCCGUCUGCUGCACCCACAAGGUCGCUGCCUGCCCUUCCGGUCUGAGCAGCAUGGGGUUCUACUCGCUGAGUUCACGAGGCCUGCUCUCUCUGCUCUUCUGCCUUAAAGUGAGCUUGUCCACUCUCCUCUUUCAGUCCUGAAGAGAGCGUCAUGCAACCCCGAGCAAACCAUCAUCUCUUCUUCCCAAGCUCUGGGUGAGAGCGCCCAUCUGCCCAGGGAAACCUUGAAAACUGCAAUCUCUGGGAAGAAUCCUGGCUUGAAAGCACACACACACAUUCACACACACUCACACACACAGACAUACACACUCACAGACACACUCACACACUCACACACAUUCACACACAUUCACACACUCACACACACUCACACACACUCACACACAGACACACUCACACACUCACACACAGACAUACUCACACACACUCACACACACUCACACACACUCACACACACAGACACACACACUCACUCACACACACAGACAUACACACUCACAGACACACUCACUCAUACACACACUCACACUCACAUUUGCACACACACAGACACACACUC